CACUGUCACAAGAACAGCAUGGGAAAGACCCACCUCUCAUGAUUCAGUUACCUCUCACCAGGUCCUUCUCACAAUACUUGGGAAUUAAAAAUGAGAUUUGGGUGGAGACACAGCCA